rnacentral:rRNA from 1 species
GGUUAAGUGAAUAAGGGCGCACGGUGGAUGCCUUGGCACUAGGAGCCGAUGAAGGACGGGACUAACACCGAUAUGCUUUGGGGAGCUGUAAGUAAGCUAUGAUCCAGAGAUUUCCGAAUGGGGGAACCCAAUAUCUUUUAUAGGAUAUUACUUUUCAGUGAAUACAUAGCUGAUUAGAGGUAGACGCAGAGAACUGAAACAUCUUAGUACCUGCAGGAAGAGAAAGAAAAUUCGAUUCCCUGAGUAGCGGCGAGCGAAACGGGAAGAGCCCAAACCAACAAGCUUGCUUGUUGGGGUUGUAGGACUCCAAUAUGGUAGUCUGUUAGUAUAGUUGAAGGAUUUGGAAAAUUCCGCUAAAGAGGGUGAAAGCCCCGUAGACGAAAUGCUAGCAACACCUAGGAGGAUCCUGAGUACGGCGGAACACGAGAAAUUCCGUCGGAAUCCGCGGGGACCAUCCCGCAAGGCUAAAUACUCCCUAGUGACCGAUAGUGAACCAGUACCGUGAGGGAAAGGUGAAAAGCACCCCGGAAGGGGAGUGAAAUAGAUCCUGAAACCGUGUGCCUACAACAAGUCAAAGCUCGUUAAUGAGUGAUGGCGUGCCUUUUGUAGAAUGAACCGGCGAGUUACGAUUGCAUGCGAGGUUAAGUCGAAGAGACGGAGCCGCAGCGAAAGCGAGUCUGAAUAGGGCGAAUGAGUAUGUAGUCGUAGACCCGAAACCAUGUGAUCUACCCAUGUCCAGGUUGAAGGUGCGGUAAAACGCACUGGAGGACCGAACCCACGUACGUUGAAAAGUGCGGGGAUGAGGUGUGGGUAGCGGAGAAAUUCCAAACGAACUUGGAGAUAGCUGGUUCUCUCCGAAAUAGCUUUAGGGCUAGCCUCGGAAUUGAGAAUGAUGGAGGUAGAGCACUGUUUGGACUAGGGGCCCAUCUCGGGUUACCGAAUUCAGAUAAACUCCGAAUGCCAUUCAUUUAUAUCCGGGAGUCAGACUGCGAGUGAUAAGAUCCGUAGUCGAAAGGGAAACAGCCCAGACCACCAGCUAAGGUCCCAAAAUAUAUGUUAAGUGGAAAAGGAUGUGGGGUUGCACAGACAACUAGG